AGGCCUUGAUAUAACCAGUGUGAGUUGAAAUAACACCUGCUGCAGAAAGAUGCCCUGGGCAGCCAUAGAUAGAUCCAGCACUGUUUCUAGAGAGCAUCCCGGAAAAAAAAAAAGCUGUUCACUGAAUAAAUUCCUCCUGACAGAUAAACUGAAACCUGCUACUGAGCACUUUGGGGCUGGGCAUUCAGCGAAGCUUCAGUGCAUUGGGUUUUGCUUCUCUCUGUCAAGGGAAGUUUAGUUCCAGCUGAACCAUAGCAAGUACCUGCUGAGUCAGUCUGUGUCUCUGCUGUGUGAUGAGAAGCAAAAUGCACUCCCUGAAGGUCUCAGCCAGCAUUUUACGUGUGGGAGGAGGGAUUUCUGGAAGGGGAAAUGCAGAAGAGAGUAGGAGCAAUUCCCAAGUGUUUGAAACCAAGGUGAACCUGUUCUGUAGGAUGCAGGUCCUGCUGUAGAGCUUGAACAAACACUCAGUUUUGUGGGAUUUAGCAAGUGAACCCAAUACAUCCCUGUGAGGAUCUGACUCCCAGGCUUUGUUAGUCUGGUUGCUGCUGAGUUUAUUGGGUGGCAGCAGGCAGCACAAGGUUGGAUCCCUUGGAUCUAGGCACUACGGGGGAUGUGUGAUAUGAAUUCACCCAGCUAAUUGCAUAAUGCAUCGUGAGGCUUUUGGUGUCUUGAAUUUCAGGCCUUUUAGCAAUGUGGGGAAUUAAGGAGUGCUUUGUGGUGUGCAUGGUGAAUGUGGGAGGGGGAAACAGGUAUUCAGUGGGCCCUCUGGGAUGGAGAACAGCAUGGAUAGCUGUGCUUGGAGGAAAUUGGGGUGCUGUUGCCUCAAAUGGAACCUUUUGGCCUUAUAUUGUUAUUCCCACCCUAUACUACCCAACCUGAUGUUCAGUGUUCAACUCUUUACUGCCAUAUUCAUGGAAACCCUUUGAAAUAUCACUGCAAGCUGGGGAAGAAACUCUUGGGAUGAUGGAGAAAAAGACCUUUAAAUACUAAUAGGGCUGCAUCAAAGGUCCCUGAUGCAUGACUGGUUGUGCAUAAUGCUAGGGUAUCUGGCUUGCCCCACUGGGGUGUGGAGGUCUGGGGCAGGACAGGAACAGGCUGUGCUUGCCCUGUGUUGCUGUGCCAUGCCUGGCAUGGAAAAAGGAUUGCCAAUCCCUGCCAACAGUGCUGCCGGUGCCGUGGUUUCCUAAGCAGAGCUGUUCCCAUCACUGGUUAUGCUGCUUUUGGAGGAGCUUUGGAAGAAAGCUGAUUGCUUCCCAUCCCCUGCUUGACUGAGGGUAGUUUUGUCUAGGGCUGAUUCCAGCUGAUGGGUUCUACCUAUCCCUUUGCAGACUGCUUGGGGUGGGACACAACCUCCAUGUAAGACCACGCAUCCUUGAGCUCCCAAACUGCAGUCUGGGGUCAGAGGAGGGGAGGAGCGGGUCUUGCUCGCCCCUUCUCUCCUGAAACGGGUGUAGAAGGCUGGUCCAUGAGCCGGUUGUAAAUCAGAAUGCACGAGGAAGGCAAUUUUCUGCAAGUAAAACCUGCCCUAACGGAGCCCUGGGGGAGGGAGUAGAACUGCAAGUGUCAAGGUGAGGCGGAAGAGCAACAGAACGAGAUUUAAUUUCCUUCCCAAUAAUUUUCUCAAGCUGUAUAAACUUUCCUUAUUUAAAAUAAAUACUCCCUGAAAACACA